UACGUAGGGGGCAAGCGUUGUCCGGAAUUAUUGGGCGUAAAGAGCGUGUAGGCGGUCCGGUAAGUCAGCUGUGAAAGUCAAGGGCUCAACCCUUGAAUGCCGGUUGAUACUGUCGGGCUUGAAUCCGGGAGAGGGAUGCAGAAUUCCAGGUGUAGCGGUGAAAUGCGUAGAUAUCUGGAGGAAUACCGGUGGCGAAGGCGGCAUCCUGGACCGGCAUUGACGCUGAGGAGCGAAAGCCAGGGGAGCAAACGGG
rnacentral:rRNA from 1 species